rnacentral:rRNA from 1 species
GACGUAGGGGGCAAGCGUUGUCCGGAAUUACUGGGCGUAAAGCGCGUGUAGGCGGGACGACAAGUCCGGCGUGAAAGGCUUGGGCUCAACCCGAGAUGGGCGUUGGAAACUGUCGUUCUUGAGGGUCGAAGAGGAGAGUGGAAUUCCUGGUGUAGCGGUGAAAUGCGUAGAGAUCAGGAGGAACACCCAUGGCGAAGGCAGCUCGCUGGAACGGUACUGACGCUGAGACGCGAAAGCGUGGGGAGCGAACAGG